AUUCUACUCCCUUCGUUCUGAAUUAUUUGUCUAGAUACGGAUAUAUCUAGACUCAUUUUAGUGCUAGAUACCUCCGUAUCUAGACAAAUCUAAGACAAGUAAUUCGGAAUGGAGGGAGUAUAUA
rnacentral:pre_miRNA from 1 species